GAUGAACGCUGGCGGCGUGCUUAACACAUGCAAGUCGAACGGCAGCACGGGAGCUUGCUCCUGGUGACGAGUGGCGAACGGGUGAGUAAUAUAUCGGAACGUGCCCAGUAGUGGGGGAUAGCCCGGCGAAAGCCGGAUUAAUACCGCAUACGAUCUAUGGAUGAAAGCGGGGGAUCGCAAGACCACGCGAUAUUGGAGCGGCCGAUAGCUGAUUAGCUAGUUGGUGAGGUAAAGGCUCGCGAAGGCGACGAUCAGUAGCUGGUCUGAGAGGACGACCAGCCACACUGGAACUGAGACACGGUCCAGACUCCUACGGGAGGCAGCAGUGGGGAAUUUUGGACAAUGGGGGAAACCCUGAUCCAGCAAUGCCGCGUGAGUGAAGAAGGCCUUCGGGUUGUAAAGCUCUUUUGUCAGGGAAGAAACGGUUCUGGCUAAUAUCCAGAGCUAAUGACGGUACCUGAAGAAUAAGCACCGGCUAACUACGUGCCAGCCGCCGCAGUAACAC
rnacentral:rRNA from 1 species